CAACAGUGAUUCCGCAAGUAGUGGCGAGCGAACGCGGAUUAGCCCAAACCUAUUUUGUUACGGCAAAAUGGGGGUUGUAGGACCACGAUAUUCGAUGCUGAUUGAAUUAGAACUGUUUGGAAAGACAGACCGAAGAGGGUGAUAGUCCCGUAUAAGUAAGAGAAGUUAUUGAUAGUGGUAUCCUGAGUAGUGCGGGACACGUGUAAUCCUGUAUGAAUCUGCCGGGACCAUCCG
rnacentral:rRNA from 1 species